GUUUGUACUAACCAUGUAUUAUAACUCAAGAGAUAUUCUUGAUUUUCAAGGGCGUAAUAAUUUUUUAUUUCCACCACCUUUUUUUACUUCUCCGGCAUACUCUGUAUAUAUUUAACAUAAGAAGAUGUAAAAAAUAUUAAUUGCCAAUGAAAUUAGUAAUACCCGUCUGAACGAGUAAAGAAGACAGUAUGACCUUCAACAAUGAUCAACAUCCGUACCACAUAGUAAGAUAAGGAGGGCUGCGGCAUGGCAAAAUGUAAAACAAUUUAAAAUAAAAAAAAAAUAAACAAUCAUAAAUCAUUUAAACAAAUAAAAUUAUGAAACAUAAAGGCCAACAACUACCGACACUAGAAUAGAGGUGUCGGACUGAGGACAAACACAUACUGAAAAUGGCGGGUUCGAAAUAAUUUAAUCUUAGUUUGUAUCAUUACAUGUAUAACCUCGUUUGAAAGAGAGCCAUAUAGCAAAAUACUUCGACGAAAAGACUCAUUUAAUUUAUUGCCUUUAAACAUUCGACCUCACUUGGACAUUAAUCAUUGUUUUCCUUUGGUAUCCCCCACCAAAGAAAUCUAUUAGAGUAAAUAUUUUAUUUCUAUUUGUUUGGCCUGCAGAUUUUUUAUCCAUUCAAAAUAACAUUGAGUUGUCUUUCUUGGUGCUCCAAUAUUUCCAAAUGCAUGGUUACCUAUUUCAAAACGUUAGAAUAGUGGUGCUAGGUUGUAAGGAUUCAAGAUAAUUUUAUGAUUACAAGAAUUAUCCUAAAAUAUCACUGGUUUUUAUAAUCACACUUACGUUUAAAUGAAAAUAAGGUUUAAUGUAGGAUACCACAUACAUAGGUAGUCAAGGUCGUUAAAAAAACCUCAAUAAUAAGAGUCCAAAACAAAAAAAAAGAUAAUAAUGCAUUAGUAAAAUUUUUAUAACAAAACUUAUAUAUCCGAAGAAUAAUAAUGACAAACCCGUAUUAUUGCCUUAGUGGGGUUUUUUUUAUACAUUUAAUACUUAAUAUAUAUAUAUAUGCGUCUCUAUGUCGCUAUGGCUCCAUA
rnacentral:lncRNA from 1 species